CCCUUAGAUGUCCUGGACCGCACGCGCGCUACACUGAUGCAUUCAACGAGUAUUUCCUUGGCCGAGAGGCCUGGGCAAUCUUUUAAACCUGCAUCGUGAUAGGGAUAGAUUAUUGCAAUUAUUAAUCUUGAACGAGGAAUUCCUAGUAAACGCAAAUCAUCAAUUUGCAUUGAUUACGUCCCUGCCCUUUGUACACACCGCCCGUCGCACCUACCGAUUGAAUGGUCCGGUGAAAUCUCGGGAUUGUGGCCAGUUCACUUUAUUGGGAGUUGGCUGCGAGAACUUGCUUAAACCUUAUCAUUUAGAGGAAGGUGAAGUCGUAACA
rnacentral:rRNA from 1 species